rnacentral:misc_RNA from 1 species
ACCAUGCAGCAGCAAUACUGUACCAUAUGUAUAUGAUGUAUACGAACGAUCUAAUAGCCGGUGUUCACGUUCACACGUUUGACUUCAACACGGGAUUAUUAAUACGAAAUACGAGAUCUGUCUUUCUAUUUUCUAGUACGCGCGCGAGUUCUUAUUCACGUGUCUUGCCUAUUAUCCGUCAUUCAUCCCCGAUCUUCAUUCACAAAAUGAACGAGGACGAUACAUUAAAGUUCUUGAAAGAGCUACGAGCAUUAAAGAAUGCCGGUGAUUUGGAUAACCGCGAGAGUCUGGAUAAUCAGGAGACUCAUUGGAGAAACACAUUGGAAUUCAGUUUGUUGACUGAAUAUCUAAAACAUCACAAUGACGAGAUCAGACUCAAUACUCUUGCACUCCUGGUAGAGUCGAAAAAAAGUACCGAAGCUUUCUCGAAAACGGAUCUGACUUUUGUCACGCUAUUUUUGACUUAUAAUCUCGCAGAACGAUUUGAAUAUGUGCCGUUAAUUAAGAAGGCCCUGAAAAGACUAAAAGAAAGCUUGGCGGUAUUGCGCCGAUGCAUUGUUAAAGAGAUAAAGAUGAGAGAGAACGAGAGUCAGGUAGACACGAAACAUGAACUUUAUGAAUCGCUGAGAGAAGAGGCUGCUGCAUCUGCCCGGCUUGCGGAAGCUCACGUCGAAGAUUACAGGGAAUUUUUGAAAUCUUAUCGCCAUAUUUGCAUUAAUGGCUUGCUUCUCGGAUCCACCAACUACAGAAAAAAAUCAAGUUUGCUGAUGUUGCAGCUUGGACAAGAUAUAUUAGAUGGGGAAUUCCCAGAAUUGCCAUGGACGGUUCAUCAAGCUACAGAAUUGUUGGAGUGUUUGUACACUGACACCUAUGAAGCUAACAAGGAAAUAAUAUACAAAAUUGCCAAGGAAAUAAAUCCUUCUCUUAUGAAAUUGGAUGAUAUUGAUGAAGUAGAGAAAAAAAUUCAUGUUGCUCUGAAUCUGGCUGAUUGCAUGAGGCCGAUAGAUAGCAUAACAGCCUCGUAUAUAUUGAAAAUUUCUCUUCUUUCACCUGUGAUAAAUCAAGUACUGUCAAAAUUUUCAACAAGUAUUGGGAAUAUACCUGAUGAAACGGUCGAUCGAUCGACGCUGAAAUUGAUCUUAAUAGUGCUUGAGCAACUAAAGGCUCCGCUAAAAUUAGCAGAAACGAAUAUUGUUGCUGCAGCCGGGAAGCACUCUCUCUACGGCUACUUGUUUUGUAUUCGAAAUUUAUUGGGUAUCUGUGAUUUGAGAAAAGUUAUUGAGCAAAAUUUCCAAGUAUGGCAACAAACAAUAUCGGAAAUAAUAGAAAUAUCAUUCCGAUUGAAUAAGACAGUUUCGGAAAUCGUUAAUAAUUCGUCGCCCGAAGGCCAUUUUCCGAUGGACAUGGAAUCAAACGCUUUAUCGUCUAUCGUGCCUGAUGCUAACGGAAUGACAACCGUGACGCCACAAAUGGUACUACUUUGUUCCUGGCGAACGGUAAAAGAAGUAAGUCUUCUGUUCGGCCACUUGUCGUCCAAGUCACCGAUAACUCAGGACGACUCACCAAACGGUCUGUUGCAUGAGAAACAAUUGGUUGAAAUCGGAGAACAUCUCGUCAGUCUCCUGUUCGAAACAAAACACAGAGGAGCGUUCGAGCAGGCUCACGUUGGUUUUGAACAAUUAUGCUAUAGGCUCUGGCGUUCGAGUCACCAAAUUCUCAAACAAUUACCGAGAAUCUGGCUGCACCAUUUAUUACUGGCAAUCUCAGGCUUGACACCGGGCAAUCCCAAAUUGUGCGCCACAAGGCGGAGCGCCGGUAUUCCCUUCAUGGUACAGGCAUUGGUCUCGUCAGAUCCAUCUGUACAGAGUUGUCCCGCAUCCGCGGUGUUUCAUCCGACGAUGAAAAUCUUGCUCGGUUUCACGGACCUCGAGGAAAGUACUGGAAUAUCGACGACGACGACAAAAUCUCUUUUGUAUGAGAAAACUAUAUUCGCCGAUUUGCAAGAUACAGAUCUAAACAAUAGUGAGAGCCCCCCUGACAUGUCCAAAAGAAAUUACGUAACAAUAACGGAAAUUAAGACUCACGCGUUGAAUAUACUUCGAGCUCUUUUCAAACAUGCCCAACUGGGCGGUUUGUCGAGAACUUAUGCUGCCGAUGGUUUGAGCGCAGCGAUUCGUAGUUACGAUGGAAAAACCUGGGCGGAACGUAACGCAGCGACUCUGCUCUUUAGUUCUCUCAUAACUCGUAUUUUCGGGGUACAGAGAACGAAGGAUCACGUUAAUCUCACCCUGCAUAAUAAAAUGACCGGAAGAAUAUUCUUCGAGAGAUAUCCGAGUCUUUUACCGUUUAUGCUGAAACAUCUACGAACCUUCGUCGAUUCGAGUGACACUCUUAUUAAACCAAGCGUUCAAUCUAUCUUGCUUCUCCUGUCGCGACUUUAUCCGAGUUUCAAUUUGGACGAAGCGGAUGCCAAGUGGAAAAUCGACGAAUUCAUACAAUUGGUAUCGGCGUGCGCAAAGAGUAAAGUCUACAAGACUCGUGAACUCGCAGCUCGCGCGUUAGUACCGCUGUUGACAAAAAGAACUGUACGGAGCUUGACCGUCGAGCUUUUUGAAAAAAUAAUGCCGGGAAAGUUGUCGUUGAACGCGAUGCACGGUUAUAUGCUCCAGAUUCUCGAGAUCACGAAGGCUCCUCAAUUCGAGAUGGAGGAUUUGACAAAAUCUCAGGUCGAGCGAUUUCUCAAGGGUACUCAUUGGAUUAUUGAGAAUCUUGAAAGUGACAACGACAAAUGCGCUUGUUUCCCUCUUGCUAGCGCUCACGUCACUGCUCUUUCGGAGCUCGCUGACUUGUUGGAUGCUGAUGAGGUGAAAACAAUAUUUCAUCGAUUGAGACCUCAUCUGGAGCAUUCUGAUCGCUUGAAACAACGACCCGGUCGAGAAGUUUAUGAACUCGUGCUCGCUAAAUUUUUCAUCAAUGUUAUGGAAAAUAGAAUUUUCAACGAGCAAUAUGCCAAUGGAAUUGCUUAUAAUCGAAGAUUAACUUGGAUCAAGCUACUCAGACAUACGAAUGUGCGAGUUCGAAUCGUCGCAUGGACUGCGCUUCCAAACCUCAUUGCAAUGGACAAUGAUCAUCAAUUUAUUAUUGGUAUCAUUCGCAUGGCAAUCGAAAACAUGAGUGAAAACGUCGAUCCUGAGCUACAAAAUGCCAUCUACGAUUGUUUCUAUGAAAUUUUAACGAGACUGGGAAAUACGGAUAAACCAGCAACUGCUCUUGACGCCGAUCUCGUGUAUAGCGUGACCGUCAUGUUUAUGACUCCUCUUGUUUCUUAUUUAGACAAAAAUUGCUAUCCGGAAAGCCCCCAUUUCUUGAGACUUCUUGGAGAAAUUUAUGGACAAUUGCGACCGGAGCCUAAGGCCGAAUGCCUCGGCACUGAAGAAAAACGGACGAUCUACAAAACUUUCCACGAUCAUUCUUGGAUGGGUUCCGCGGACACGGCGUGCAGGCUCGCUGUUUCAAGUGUCCUCUACAAUCUCUUACCAGACCCGGAAGAUCCUUGUGCCGAUGAUUGGCUACUGUUGGAUUGGUGGACAACCCUACUGAAUUUGUUGGUCGAUGAUAAUAUCCAAGUCCGAAACAAUGCGUCGCAAGUUCUGAGGAAACUAAAUGAUCCCCCAACGCAGCUGGAAUGUAUUUCCAGUAUGAUAAACCAUUUUUUCUACACAUUUUCUAGCUACAUGGCUAAUAAGCAGGCAGUUGCUUUUGCAGCUCUGUUCACGUGGGCGACCGCGUUGUCAGGAGACGGAGAUCAUCAAAUGGACGAAUCUGAUGUUUUUAACAAAUGUUACAAUUAUGAAAUCUUCGAACCACUGACGAUAACCAAUUUGUGCGUAAGAGAGUUCAAACAUCUAUUGGAAAAUUAUGAUGAGAAUAGCGGACUACCCUACGAUGUGAAACGCUGGUUGUCCGAGAAACUUUUCAUUGCAAUCGAGCCUCGAGAAUUUGCAUGCGCUCGUUUGAUUAUCGUGAGAUAUAAGGCAGCAAUGCACGAAGUCGCAUUGCAGCUCGAAGGCAUUACGGAUCCAAUGUACAAUGACAAGAUGCUCCAAUUUAUAACGUGCAAAAAGUUCGACUCGACAUUGCCUCCCGUUCAAUAUCCAACGGGCAAAGAGGUCACGGAGGAUCGAGUAUCGUACCUUAUUCCUUGGAAUGAUCCGACACGACCGAAUUCGUUGGAACGAUUACAUGAUCCGAGUUGGCGUUAUCGCGAGGUUAAAUGAAUGAUAAAACUAUUCACAUUUUCACUCUAUUACUGCCAAUUACUUUUUAUCACUUUACCUUUAGCUCUAAAUAAUAAAAGACACAUAAACGAGAUGACUCUUAAAAAAAUACUGUGCUGUGUACUCUUAACUCUCGAACAAUGCAUUUCAUAUGUUAUAGUGAGGCUUCGCGCCGAUAUUCCUUACAUUGUUACUUGGUUGAAUACAGACAGAGAGCAUACUCUUUAAUCUCACGCUCCGAAAGCGUCCAUAAUCGUACACCGCAUUGACGCAGCACACUAAGAACCGAAAAAAGAGAACGAGCCUUUUUUCAAGAGAAGCGUAAGAGAAAAAGCAAAGUCAACCCCUUGGGACCGAUGAUCAAAAUUGCCGCGUUAAUAAUGUAGGACGGUAGAAAGUGACAUUCAGCGCUCUCGUACGGCAAAUAAAAUGACUAGAAAAUUAUAGCGUACUUUUUAUCGAUCGAUGAGUAUAAAAAUUUAAUAUUUAUAUAAAUCGUUAAUAUUACACCGUUUGUCAUCAGAAUAGUUCAUGCGAUUACUUGUUUUGAAAAAAUCAAAUUACAAACAGUCAAAAUUUC